GCUAAUGUUAAGCAAAAUGCCUUAUCGGUUAAUGAUCAUCAUUAAAUGUGUCACGUUAAGUGACACCGUGACACAUAAACGUGUAUGCCACACUAUAAAAGCACUAAACGCACAAAAUACAACGUAUAAUCUAAAAUUAAAAUCUAGAAGAAGAAAAAAAAUACUCUUUCAUUCAGUUAACCCUAACAUUUCCUAAAAAAAAAACCCUUAUUAUCCCUUCUAUCUUCUUUGUCCGUAUCUUUUUCCGGCCACUAUGGUUUGCUUCAAAGUCUCCGGCCAUCGCUUUUGUCUUCAAAAUCUCCAGACGUUACCUUCGAAAUCAUCAUCAUUUGAGGUAAGUUUUCUUUGUCUUCGUAUAAUGCAUUCAAAAUUGACAUUUGUAUCAUUGGUUGAUGCAUUUGAAGUUUGCAUUUUGCUCAUUUAACAAUUUGUAUUGAUGAUUUCAAAGUUUUAUCAUUUGUGACAGUAAUAAUUUGAGAAUUUGGGGAUUUGAUGAUUUUAAGAUUUGAGAGUUUAAGAAUAAGAAGAAAAAAAAUAGAGAAGAAGAAUUAGCCGCUAGCCUCUUUAAUGUUCCUAUUUACUCUUAAAAUAUUCUUUGUGAUGUGUCAUCCAUGUUUAUGUGUCACAAUGUCACUUAACAUAACACAUCAACACCUCUAACAUUUGCUCAUUGAUAGAGGGAAUAUUUUAUUUGGUGUUAGACAAAAUUGAAAAGUUUUUUCAUGAAGCGUAAAUUUCAAGGAGUUUUUCUACAUACAGUUACAAUUUUAGGAAGUGAAGUUUUCUUUUUUAAUAUAAGCCCCAAAAAAGAUAAUCAAUGCUAUUAAAAAAAUUAUAAUGAAUUUUUGUAUUGAGUGGAGGGCUGGACUCAAAGAAGUUAGUUGAGUUUGAUGAAAAAUAUAUGUGUUCGGAAAAUAAAGAAUUAGAGAAAUUUAAAUAACUAUUAAAACAUAAAAAAAAAAUUAACAUGGAAGUUCUAAAAUCACGACUGUUGUUAAACGACAACUAGAGAAUAACACUGUGUGAAAAUUAUUAUAGUAUAUAGACUUCUCGCACUCUUCAAAGUAAAUAUUUGAACUAUAUCUCACAACAUUUUAAUACAAGAAUAGAAAAUAAAAGAAAAAAGUCAGAUACAUGCUUAAAGUAUUUUUGAAUAAUGCGAGUUAGAGAGAAAAAUAAAAUAGAACCAUAUAUAUAAUAUUAAAUUCCCUCUUUCUUUAUGAUUCUAAACAAUUUAAAACUUUUUCAAAUUCUUAAUUUCAAUCAAACCUAACCGUAUGCCUUCCAAGCAUCUUAGAGGAUAAUUAGGGGAUUAAGGAUCUUCAAAAUAUUAGGAGUUUUGAGUUGAGUUAUACUCAUACAAGCUGUAUUCCAUGGAGAGACUUUCAUACAAGGUCUAUUUGGUGGAGGAACAAAAUUUCCAUUGAUCAUUUUGUUGAUAGAUAUAUAAACUAAUUGUUUCUUAUGUUUUUAAUUUAAGAGAAUCAAAAUAAAAUAAAUUUAAAAAAAAAAUCAAAAAAUAAUUUAAAGAAUUAAAAAUGUAGUUUAUCCUAUUAACUAGAGGGUAAAAAGUGAAGGAAAAAAAUUAAUAUUAUAUUAAAAUUUAAAAGUGACAUUCAUUGUGAUUUUUUUUUUUUAAAUGUGACUCUCAUUGAUUUGAGAAUGACGUUGAAAUUAAAUAAAAUAUGAAAGAAGAUAUAAAAUGGAGAUAAUAAUAAUAAUAAUAAUAAUAAUAAUAAUAAUAAUAAUAAUAAUAAUAAUAAUAAUAAUAAUAAUUUUGAAACAGAACAAAUUCAUAGAAGUAAUAUUUGUAUCAAAUUUAUUUAUUUUUCAAAAACUCAAAAUAUCAAUAUGAAAUUGUGAAAUGUGAACACAUUGAACGCAUUGAACGCAUUUGAGCAAGCAGAUAAAAAGUACUACUGAUAUUUUUAGAUGCAGUUAAAGACACGUAGUCCACAAAAGUCAUAGCAAUGGACAUUUACUUAUUUGGAAAGAUGAAUGCACCAUUUUGAGUAUCACUUGUAUUAUUUCUAACACCAUAUGAAUUUAUUCUAUUUUUCAUUUUCUAAAACUAAUAAAAUUUUAAAGAGAUAUACUUAAUUGAGCACAAUCUUAAAUUAAAAAUAUUUAGAUACCCUCACACAAAUAAAAAAAAUUAAAUAAUAAAACUAAAUUAUUUCUCUUUUAAUUAUUUUUAUUUGUGUGAGCUCAAACACCAUUUUUAAAAUACAAACAAAAUUAAAGUACACCGUAUUCAAAAUCACAUUUUUUAUUUCAAGAAUAUUUUCUAUUUGAGAUAGAAGUACUGAACAUAAAAGCACAAGCUCUGCAAGCUUGCUUUUUCUAGUUUUGCUUUUUAGGCAAGUAGGUGAAAAGCAGUAAUUAUUAAAUAGGUAAGAGCAUUGAACCGUAUGAUAAAAUUCAAAUUUUGCACAGUAACAAUGUUGUACAACUUGUACUAAUUUGUUUGUCUAAAAAAAAAACUUGUACUAAUUUGUUUUUGACUCUAACAUACAUUGAAUCUAAAAGAGAGUCUUUAUUUUGAAUUUAAGACAUUCCUACUGGAAGAUGGAGUAAUUAAAUUGCAAGAGGAUGUAGUCUUAUGACUCAUCACAUUAGCCGAAACUAGCUAAUUACUUGCAAAGUGAUUUAGUUACAACAUUUUUAGCCAAAUCUAAGUAUAGUAAUUUUUUAUAUAUAAAAAUUAUGAUAAAUACUACCAUAAAAAUUACAUAUAAUUUAUUUACGAAGUUUUUAAUUCAAACUAUAAAUAAAAUAUUUAUUUAAUAAAAUUGAUAUUUUUUAAUUGAGUUAAAACUUAAAGAUAUAUACAUAAAAUUUUACCAUAUUAAAUAUAUGUUCAAAGAACAAAUCAGUAAUUGAACCAUUUUUGAAAAAAAUAUCCUACGUUGUCUUCCAGUAUAGUAAAAGAGGAUGAAUGUCAAUAUAAUGUUAUUUUUUAUUAUAAUUUAUUUAUAUUAUAACUUAUUUAAAUAGUAGAAGUUAUUUUUAAUUCGUUUUUAUGUAUUAAAACAAUUCAUUUUAACAUUCAAUAUCCUAUAUAUUUAUUAAUAGAGAUUUUAAUAUUAAUGAUAUAUAAAAAUAACAUAUUUUUUUUAGUAAAAAACGUAUUUCUAAAAAAUGAUUAUUAUAAAAAGCUUCUUAUUUUAAAUAUUGUUUGAAAUUUUAUUAUUAAAAAAAAUUAUAACAAAUAGAUGCAAUAAUUAAAAAGAUAUUUUAUAAUAAAUUAUUUAAAUUAAUUUUUUAUUUAAAACUUUAUUUUAAAAGCAUUAUAACAAAAAAAAAAAUAGAAUAUUAUAAAAAUUAAGUUUCUAAAAAGAUUGUAACAAAUGGACUCAAUAUUGUUUUAGAAUUAUAUUAUGAGAUGUAAUUAUAUAUUUACUUUGAAAAAUAAGAUUAUAUUAACGGACAUAAUCCAGCGUCAUGUAUCCCUCUUACUUAUUUAUGUUGUUACAAGUAAUUAAAUAAUUUUGUCUAUAUUCUUAUUUUAGUUUUGUCUGGCACCUCUCUCACUAUUUUAUAUUAUUUUUUAGAGAUUUUUUUUUUUAAAAGGAAGUUAUAUUGAGUUUGUUUAUUUUUAUAAUAAAAAUCACUAUUUUAAAAAAUAAAUUAUGAAUUUUUUUAUAAACUAUUAAAUACAAAUUUUGUUUUAGAUAUAAUUGAAAAAAUAAUUCUUCAAAUUCGCAUUGUUUUUUCAAAAAGUUAUAACAAACAUAUGCUAACUUUUGAAAAUAAUUAUUUUGUUAAAAAAUAUAUUUUUGCUUAUGAAAUGAGCGGUAACAAAUGGCCUCUUUAUUACGCCCUAAAUCAGAACUCGCAAUAGCGUCCACAUAUUUUUUUUUAAUGUUUUUUUAUUUUAUAAAUAUUUUUUGGGACCUUAUCUUAACAAUGGGGAUUUUGAGUUUUUUCAAUACAAUUUGUCAUGUUCAGUAUUACUGAAUUUGAUAAAUGUGUAUAAAUUGUAGGUAACUCAAGUCAAUUAUAUUGAUUUUUGAUACUACAUUAAAUUUUUAUAAUGAAUUUAAUUUAUAUUCUUACAAAAUUAAUUUAUAAAAUGAGAGUGUCUUUCUUUAUAAAUUCAUUUAAAGUUUUAUUUUUUAAUUUUUUUUUGUAAUUUGAAUUUUUUAAAUAAAUGCUUUUUAAAAUAUUAUUAUUCAUCACUGCAUUUUAUCAAUUUUUAAUCCCACCUUUUAUAAAAAUAGGUGCUUAUGACAAUUCGUGAUAUUUAUGUUCUCACAGAGAAGUACUAAAAACACCUUUUUUUUAAUAAAAAGUGUGGAUUAGAUGGAAAUAUUUUUAGAGUGAUUCUAAAUUAUACAAAUGAUUUUUAAAAGAAAUAAAAAGAAUAAUAUUUUAUCUUAUUAUAAAUAUUAAUUAAAAAAUCAAUUCUGAAUUUAAAAAAAAUCCUGAAUUAAUAUAUAUUAAAAUAAUUUAUCAUAUAACCUGAUUGUUUUUCGUUUUUUCAUUUUACUAUUUUGUAUAUGAUCUAACUUUAAAAGUUCCACAAUUUUAUAGAGAUUUAAACAUAUUUCCCUUUUUUUUUUUUACAAAAUUUAGUGGUUGGUUUGGGUGUUGAUCGAACAAGAACUAAAAAAAAUCAGACAAGAGAAGGAAAUCGAUCAAAGAAGUACGUGUCCCUCAUGGCUCGUGUCGUUGUCAAAGAAGUACAUGCUUGGAAAUCGGUCAUGUUUUGCUGUGUUCUAGUUCAUUCGGUUUUCAUGCACUUUCUACUAUUUAGGUGUGUGGUGCUACAACCAAAUCCUAUUGUGUCUAUUAAUUAUCAAACAUGUUGGCUAUAAACUCUAGUGUCAAUAUAUUUUGUAUAAAUGAUUAUUUAUUAUGACUUUAGAUUAUAUAUCUAAUUUUGUUUAUAUAUAUACAUCAGUUAUUAUCACUUAUUAUGUUAUUAUCUGGAAUAUAAUAAUAUUCUUAUAAUAGAUAAUUUGUUCAAUAGAAAAUCAUACGUUAUUUGAUCGUAAAAUUAUAUUUUUAAAAUAUCUAUUGUCAAAAUAUUAUUGUUAAUUAUGACGAUAAUAGUACAUACAAACUAUGAUGUGAGUAAACUGAUGAAUAUCUCACGUUUGAUGAAUAUGAGAUAUCAAAUUUUCGCAUAGAUUUAAAUAUUAUGAGUAAUAUUUGUACUAGAUUGACCCACAAUGAGAAUGUUGUAUAAUUUUUGUGUAAGUGUCAUUAUUGAUUCUCAUGCGAUCAUAGUGAGUAAUGUUUCGACUUGAAAUCACUACGAUUCAUACAUAGGGAGUUGAAGAUUUUAAGACCAUCAAACAUUAUUUGUAGCAAGACAAUCAUAAAGGUGGUUAUUGAGUAUGCAACAAACCAUGUGAAGGGGUGUGAAUGGUAUAGAUCAAAUAUGUCUCUUCUACAUAAUAGGAGUUAUGUCUUGUGUCUCGAGAUAGUGUAAGACUGUGGAAAUGCAUGGACGUGCUAGAAUGAACCAAUAUGUGAUAUUGAGUCCAUUAUUAUUUAUGCAUCUACUAUAGGAUGCGAAAUAGAUAAUUGGACAUUACAAGGGUGAAACACAUUAUAAUUUGCAUUCAAUAAGAUAUUUAGACGAUAGACAAUUACAACACAAUAAAUUAUGGUCAUGAUAAAGUUAAAUUCGGAUCAUCACUUUUUUCAUUAAUUAAGUAUCAUCACUUCGUAACUAAAUUAAGUAUCACCUCAUUGUUUAUAAUAUUUAAUAUUUUAAAUUAUUGCUAGUUUAGUGGAAACUUAUAGUGUCAAACACAUAGAGCGAUUAAUCAUAGAAUUGAUAUUUAAUUAAAUAAUCAGUGAAUUGAGUUUGUAAUAUAUGAGGCAUAAUAAGGCUAAGUGAAACAGAAGAUAAAGGGCAUAAAAGAGUGAGUUGUUGUGCCUUCCUUAAUUUAGUUACGAAGAUAUACAUUAUUGUGUCUCUACCUAUAUAUAGAUGUCAAUUAGCACGAUGCUCUUUAAUGGUGAUCUUUCACGUGGAUUUAGUAGAGGUGUUGCGCUUUUGUGGCAUUGUUGAUCAUCACAUUGACGCUUUAAGAGGUAAACACAUGAUCUUACAACGAAUCUUGUAAUUCUAAGUGAUCUUGACAAAAGGAAAUUUUUCUCUCUUGAGAAUUAUUUUAAUUUUUUUAAAAAAAGGACUAUCUCUUAAUUCUCCAUAAGAUGUCCAUCUACUCUAAACAAACUUACAAGAUAUGAUAAGACAAAUAAUACAUUGCAAGAUCAAUCUAUGUUGAAUCAAUCGCGUUCAAAUUCGGUUGAUGAUAAGGUCUAGUCUUUUUCUUUUGCACAAGUUUUACAAAAAAUAUGUGAGAUUCCUUAUCUGAGUUUCCCAAACAAUGCAUUAAAAGCGAUUGAUUGACAAUUCACAUUCCUGAGGAAGAAUAUCAAGUAGGGUUAGGGUUUUGCAAGAAUCACCUUUAUUGCAUUUGGUUCAAGAAAUGUAUUUUGAGUCAAGAAAAUUGUCUUAAUCUAAAUUGACGUAAUCAAAUAAGUUAGAUUGUUAAAAACAGUGAAUUAAUAAUUACAUAAUAACAAUAAGGUGAUUUAAAUUCCUAAUAGUUUUCCUCGUAAUUUCUAUCUUGUUAAAUUUUAUUUUGUUAUACUCAAACAAUCAUUUACCAAUUUUUUUACUCAGUUAAGUGUUUACAAUUUGUUACGUAGUUAAAUUAAUAAAAGUUUAUAUGGAGACGAUUUUCUCGAUACACUUGUCAAAUAAUUGCCAUUUAUUUUGCUCUUUGUUAUAUGAGUGUAAUUAUUUUCAUCGUUGUGGUUUUGUUUGUUUUGGCUAUGCGAGAGUUUUUAUCUAAGUGUUUCUAUUUUUAGUAUGGAUUAUGAGUUAACUUUAAUCCUUCACCAUGGUGGAUGUUUCAAUUGGUUUGGUGAUAAUGACUUACAAUAUAUAGAAGGAAUAAAGUGUUUGUAGGAGGAUAUUUAUAGUGAUUAGGAUUUCUUCGAUUUGAAUGAAAUUGAAAAAUUGUAGUUUAGUUUUCGUGUCAAUUUGGUCUCUUAUCAUUAAACGAUGCAACAUAUGAGUAUCAUGUGUCAAAAAUUAUGUCACGUCUUCACAAGAAACAAAAAAGAAAUUCGCAUUCAUUGUUAAGGAAUAUGUUGAUUAACGGAGAAUUAAUUGAGAGAGUAAAAAAAUUCAUUAAUGUUGAUGUCGAGACAAAUUCUAUAUUUAAAGUUUUGAUAAAAAUAAACAAAAGUUAAUUAAGAAAGUUAAUUAUGAUUCUAAAAUGUUAUGUUAAUUUAACAUGUGUUUUUGAGUGGAUUUAAUUAAGAACAAAAUCAAGCAAAACAGAAAAGACAGCAACAAGAUCAUUCUGCAUCAAAACAGAGAAUGAUCUCCAGCUUCAAAAAUUGUCCAUCACAGCAUAUUGGUCAAAUUUUUUCUAUCUCUUUAACAAAGAGUCUGCCCUGGAAAUUUAUUCAUAACUAAUCAGUACAUGGCAAGUAACAAGCAGGAUUCAUCCAAGCUCAAAAAGGCUAUUUAUCUCAAAAAUAAAAGGACUCAAAGACAGACAAAAGUCUGACAGUUUGCAAACUCCAAAAAUCAAAUGUCAAGAAAGUUCGAUCAAUCUUGACAUAUGACAAGACAAUUGCAAAGGAAAUCCAGAAUGAUUAAAACGGGAACUCCAGAAUGAUUAUUGAAGCUCAAGAAAGUUCAAACUGACAAACCAAGAACGUUAAUCAUUCUCCGUUUUCUGCACAAUAACAGCAGCACUGCAUCUCAUAUGAAAUAGCAUGUAAUUCCUCUCCAAACUUCUCUAGCUACACUCAAGACUCAAGACAGAGAAUGUACCAUCCAAGAUCAAUGAAGAAACGUCAAGAAGUCAAAAAGUCAAAAAGUUAUUUCAAAGAAGGAUUAUUUUUAUUCUGAAAUAAUGUUUUAGUCAAAAAGCAUAGCCUCUCCAAUAGCUCUUGUGUACCUUCAUUCAGUGCCUUUACAGCCUAUAAAUAGAAGGCCAAUAUCCAGAAUCAAGACAAGAAAUUCAAGUGCUAAGAAAUCCAUAAAUCAAUCACAUACAUACUUGAAAUUCGGCAAAACAGAGACAAUCAUACAUUCUGCUUUUUGCGAAACAACUACUGAUUCAUAUUCAUUGAAGGUAAAAAAAAUAAGAUCUCAAUUCAAGAUUGAUCUUGGCAGUGAUGAAGAUCGAUCUUGGUUUUGUUGAAACAACAAUAUCAAUCUUGGUUUGCUUUAAAAAUAGUAAAAUCAAUUUUAUCAAAAUAUGAUUUGAUUGUAAUGCAUAAAAUAAAUAGAGAUAGAGAUAGAGAUAGAGAGAUCACACAAGGAUAUAUCCUGGUUCACCCAACCCGGGUUACGUCCAGUCCUCACAACCGUGAGAUUUUUCACUAAAUGUUCAAACCAAGAUCGUUCUUGGUUUUCAUGGAUCAAUCUUGAUCUUUACACAAUUCCUACCCUUCUACCUAGAAAGGAUUUCUUCAAUUCUACCUUACUGUUUUGGAAAGGCUUUAACAAGUUACCUUUCAAAACAUGAAAGGAUUUUUACAAUUUACUCAAGAUUUGACAAAACAACCUUGAGUUACAAAGUGAUGGAUUUGAGACUAUUUAGAAUCUUGAUAUUUACUCAACUCUUGUUUGAGAAAUAUAUUCUGUAAAUAGACCUCAGUUGUAAAUGAUUACAACACAAAGAUUAAAACAAAACAGCAAACUAUAAGAAAGGUUUUGAGACACUUGAGUAUGAUCGAAAAUAUUGAUCUUUUGCUUGGUGUUGAUUGUUGUGUGUUGUUCUUCAACUUGCAGCUGCAUUUAUAGACUCCAAGAAGGCUUAUGACAGCUCAUGUGACUGUUGGAAAGGAACCAGCUGUCAUAAAAGAGUUGUUGGAUAAAUUCUGCCAAAAGCAAGAUUGAUGAGCUGUAUCAAAAGAUCGAUCCAAGAUUGAUCUUUUGGUUUGUGAUGAACUGGCCUUGUACUUUGUGAUUUGUGUCAGUAUGUCAGCCUUGAGUACUGCUUUUCUGUUACUUGUGCAGGCUUUAGAAUAGUUCAAAUCAGUAGUGUACUUUGCUACUUGUAGUCUUGUACUUGCAUUUGCUUUUCAAGAGGAAUGAUCUUUGUGAUAUGCCUUUAUUGAAGCAUGCCUUUGAUUCUUCAAAUUCUGGAAUAUAUAUGACUUGGAUGGAUCUUUUGUUGAUUAUAUGAGAGUAUAGGAUGAAAAUUAUUUCCAGGAUUGAUGUUUGUUUUCCAGAACUGCUUCAAGAUCAAUCUGCGUUUUCCAGAACUGCUUCAAGAUCAAUCUGCAUUUUCCAGAACUGCUUUAAGAUCAAUCUGCGUUUUCCAGAACUGCUUCAAGAUCAUUCUGCGUUUUCCAGAAUUGCUUUCUUUGAUCUGAUUUGUGAUGUUUGAUUCCUAUCUUGUUUUAACACACUCAAAUGCACAUGUUAAAUAUCAAAACACUUAGAAUCAUAAUUAGAAUUCUUAAUUAACUUUUUGUUUGUUUUCAUCAAAACAUUAAAUUGAGAUUUUGUCUCAACAAUCUCCCCCUUUUUGAUGAUGACAAACAUGUUAAUUUAGAUUUUAAUUUUGAUUCUAAUUUUAAUCAUAGAGAGCUUUAAAAGCUCCCCCUCAGAAUAUGCUUCAGAUUUUUGAACCAACAUAAAAUCUAAACAUAAAAUCUAAAAUAAUUCUCCCCCUUUGUCAACACAAAAAGGUUUGGAUUUUACAAAGGAAAUGUAUACUACACAUUGAAAACAAUGAGUAGACUCCAGUUUUUAGAUGAAAAACUCCCCCUGAAUUUUAAAGAAUUAAUAUCCCCCUUAAAAAAAAUCAGAAUACAAGGAAAAUGCCAUUAUGCUCUUUGUUAUCUUUUACAAGAGACAACAUUUUAAUUUUGAACAUGAUAAUAAGCGCAUACAUGGAAGCGAAAUAAGAUGAUACAUGUACCUUUGAUUUGUUAAUGUUUCCAAGGGUUAUAGACACUCCAAAUUUUUGUAAUGAGAUGAGGCAUCAUACUUUUCCAUUCAUGUGUAUUGAGAAUGCCUUGGUCAUGUAUCAAUGUUCUUUCUUGAUUGUUGGAUGAUGUUCCUACAUCACAAGUUUGUAAUGAUUUUGGUACCCAUAUUUGUUUGGGUCCUUGGGAGUUAGCCUUGAAAUCUGGUUUCAUAUUGUUAAAUGAUUUCUCAGAAUGAUCAAUCUUAGACUGAGAAGAAUCUCUUUUUGAAACUGGUUUAAAAAACUGGGCAUUAGUUGUUUCUGAUAAGCCUCCAGAUCGAUCUGAAGAUCGUUCUUGCUUUUUCAGUUUUUCAGAAAAAUCUGUUUUUACUGUCAAAUGUUCUUCCCUUUUGAAGAUUCUCCUAUUCUUGUUUUUGUUAUCCCUUUUUUUAAAGUAACAUGCAAAUUCUAAAUGUCCAAUUUUGUCACAAUAUGAGCAUUUGAUUUUGCAUUUUUCUUCUCUUAGUUCAGGAACAAAGAAAGUUUCAUACAUUUUGGUUUUUUGAGUUUUGUCAAAACCGAGCCCAGCUUUAUCAAAAAUCCCUACUUGAGAUCCCAUGAUUUUCUGAAAUGUCUCAGUUGCCUUAAUAAAAUUUUUCAAAUCAUUUUUAAGAGUUUCAACUUCAGCCUUGAGAAGAUCGUUCUUCGUUUGAGGUGAAGAUUGAUCUUGGUUUUCUGGUUUUUCAAAUUCAAGAUUUUUGAGCUGAGAUUCUUUCAGAUUUUGAAUGAUCUCUUUAAGUUUAUCAUUCAUAGCCUGAAUUUUCUCUUUCUCUUCUUUUUCUUUGUGAAAUCUUUCUUUAAAAGAACUACAUUUUUGAAUGAGAAAGUUUGAAUCAUUUAAUAAAUUAUCAAAUUCGAUUUCCAUUUGUUUGCAUAUAAGACAUGGUUCAGAAUUUACCUCUGUUUCUUCAAUAUCUGCCAUUAAACACAGAUUGGCUUUUUCAGGUUUCUCUGUUUCUGAUUCAUCAGAUUCAUCCCAGGUUGCCAUCAUUGACUUCUUUUUGAAAGGAAAUUUCUUUGGCACCUUUUUGUUUAAUGGACAUUCAGUUUUGUAAUGUCCUUGUUUGUUGCAGCCAAAACAAAUGAUUUUGCUUUUAUCUAUUUCAGUUUUGAAUUCCUUUUUAUCUAGAAAUCCCUUUUUGAUUUGAUCCCUUCUUAUCAACAUUCUUUGUAUCUUUCUUGUAAGACGAACUAUCUCUUUAUCAACAUCUUCUUGUUCGAUUUCUUCUGAGUCCUCAUCUGUUUGUACUGGUGUACUUUCUUGAGAUGCUUUCAAAGCUAUUGUUUUGACCUUUUUGAUUGGUUUGUCUUCUUGUAGCAGCACUUCAUGUGCUCGUAAUGUUCCAAUUAGUUCCUCCAGUCCGAGUACGUCAAGAUUCUUGGCCUGACUUAUGGCUGUCACCAUUGGUCUCCAUAUUAUUGGAAGACAUCUCAUGAUCUUUCUGACUCUGUCUUGUACUGAGUAUGCUUUCCCUAAAGAGCGCAUUUCAUUUACAAUGGUUGUGAAUCUUGAGUACAUCUCAUCAAUGGUUUCUCCUUCAUUCAUUUCAAAGAGUUCAAACUUUCUUAUGCCUAUAUCAAUCCUUGUUUCUUUUACAUGGCUUGUUCCUUCGUGAUGAGUUUGUAAUGUGUCCCAUACUUCUUUAGCAGUUUUGCAUUCAUCAACUCUUUCGCAUUCUUCUCUGCUCAAAGCGCACGAUAAGAAUAAAUGAGCUUUAGAGUUUAGGAGUACCUUAGAUUUUUCUUCUGUUGUCCAAUCUGCUUCUUUCUUUUCAGCAGAGGUUGAAUCAUUUUGGUCGACUCUUGGUACGAAAUCUCCAUCUGUAAUGAUGCGCCACAUUCCUGUAUCUUGAGAUUUCAGAAACAACUGCAUUUUUCUUUUCCAGAAAUAGUAGUCUAUGCCACCAAAGUAAGGUGGUCUAUAUGAUGACCCUCCUUCAGCAAUGUACAUAUCUUUUGACAUUUUUCUAGAUCUUUUCUCUAACACUUGUUAGGUGUUGAACUUUUGAGACCGAGCUCUGAUGCCAAUUGAAGGUAAAAAAAAUAAGAUCUCAAUCCAAGAUUGAUCUUGGCAGUGAUGAAGAUCGAUCUUGGUUUUGUUGAAACAACAAUAUCAAUUUUAUCAAUAUAAAAUAUGAUUGUAAAGCAUAAAAUAAAUAGAGAUAGAGAUAGAAAGAGAGAUCACACAAGGAUAUAUCCUGGUUCACCCAACCCGGGUUACGUCCAGUCCUCACAACCGUGAGAUUUUUCACUAAAUGUUCAAACCAAGAUCGUUCUUGGUUUUCAUGGAUCAAUCUUGAUCUUUACACAAUUCCUACCCUUCUACCUAGAAAGGAUUUCUUCAAUUCUACCUUACUGUUUUGGAAAGGCUUUAACAAGUUACCUUUCAAAACAUGAAAGGAUUUUUACAAUUUACUCAAGAUUUGACAAAACAACCUUGAGUUACAAAGUGAUGGAUUUGAGACUAUUUAGAAUCUUGAUAUUUACUCAACUCUUGUUUGAGAAAUAUAUUCUGUAAAUAGACCUCAGUUGUAAAUGAUUACAACACAAAGAUUAAAACAAAACAACAAACUAUAAGAAAGAUUUUGAGACACUUGAGUAUGAUUGAAAAUAUUGAUCUUUUGCUUGGUGUUGAUUGUUGUGUUUUGUUCUUCAACUUGCAGCUGCAUUUAUAGACUCCAAGAAGGCUUAUGACAGCUCAUGUGACUGUUGGAAAGGAACCAGCUGUCAUAAAAGAGUUGUUGGAUAAAUUCUGCCAAAAGCAAGAUUGAUGAGCUGCAUCAGAAGAUCGAUCCAAGAUUGAUCUUCUGGUUUGUGAUGAACUGGACUUGAACUCUGUGAUUUGUGUCAGUAUGUCAGCCUUGAGUACAUGCUUUUCUGUUAUGUGCACAGGCUUUAUAAUAGUUCAAAUCAGUAGUGUACUUUGCUACUUGUAGUCUUGUACUUGCAUUUGCUUUAUAGGAAGAAUGAUCUUUGUGAUAUGCCUUUAUUGAAGCAUACAUUUGAUUCUUCAAAUUCUGGAACAUAUAUGACUUGGAUGGAUCUUUUGUUGAUUAUAUGAGAGUAUAGGAUGAAUAUUGUUUCCAGGAUUGAUCUUUGUUUUCCAGAACUGCUUCAAGAUCAAUCUGCGUUUUCCAGAACUGCUUCAAGAUCAAUCUGCGUUUUUCCAGAAUUGCUUCAAGAUCAAUCUGCAUUUUCCAGAACUGCUUUCUUUGAUCUGAUUUGUGAUGUUUGAUUCCUAUCUUGUUUUAACACACUCAAAUGCACAUGUUAAAUAUCAAAACACUUAGAAUCAUAAUUAGAAUUCUUAAUUAACUUUUUGUUUGUUUUCAUCAAAACAUUAAAUUGAGAUUUUGUCUCAACAAUAUUCAUAUAUUAGUUUGCGCAAUUAUCAUUAGAUCCUUUGUAAAGAAUCAAUUCUCAAACAAGAGUUGAGAAAUCUCAGAUUUUGUCAAAACAAUCAAAUUGUAAAAACUCAAACUAUAAGAGUUUCUUCAUAGUUUGUUUAAGAUUACAUUCUAUCAAGGUUAGAUAGGUUUUGUUAUUGCUUUCUGGAUGGAAAGUAAUAGAGAUUGAAAUAGAUCAAGGUUGAUCUAGACUAGGUGUUGUAAGAUCAAGAAGGUACUUUGUUUUUAAACACAUAGUGGAAAAUCUCACAGUGUGAGGACUGGACGUAACCCACGUUGGCUGAACCAGGAUAAAAUUCUUGAGUGGUAUUUUCUAUCCUAUCUCUUUAUUUAUCAUACUGAAUUGACUAACCAAGAUAAAACAUAAACUGAUUUUCUGUUUUAAGCUAAUCAAGGAAUGUUCUUUGUUUUACAUCAAAAACCAAGAACGUUCUCCGUUUUCUGUUUUUAUAACCAAGAUCAAUCUUGAGUAUUUUUCUUAAGUUUCAACAGGAAUUUUUAAAAGGUCCAUUUACAAUUCAAAUCCCCCUUUCUUGUAAAUCGACAUUGUUACUUCAGUUGAGACCAUGCGUCCAACACUUUCAAAGUCGAAAGUGAUUUUGAUAUAAAAAAAAUGAUUCUUUACUCUUUCAAUUUUUUGCUUUUUUUUCAAUAAUUUGAUAUUAUAAUGUCUAGAUCAACAAUUGUGUAAUAUAAUAAUUGUUAUUUAAUAACUAUCUUGCGAAGAUAGUUCAGUUGAUAAGUUAAGAGAUGUCAAACAAAUCAUAAGAAAUAAAUCAUGUAUUCAAAUUUAAGAAAAUUAAUUUAACUACUAAUAUAUUAAUAUUUAUAUAUAAAAAAAUAAAUUAAAAAAUCCUAAUCGAUGUUAGCAUACCCAUGCCCACAAAAUUUGUGUUAAAUGGAAUUUAAGGUCGACGGAGAAAUCUCCACCGGACGUGGAAGUUCGUGCUUAAUUAUUGUUUAAUUAUGUGGACUCUUUUGAACUCUUGGGACUCUAUCUAUGAAGUUGUUGGAAUUGUAUUAUCAAUUGAAAUGCCUACAUGAGGGACAAAUCAUUUUAAUAAUCAGAUAAUUGAGAUUCCUUUUGGUGUUAAGCUCCUUUUGAUAUGUUUAUUACGUAUUGUAGUUUUUUGAGUUUUGAGUUUUUCUGUCCUUCCUAUUGUUGUGGAGUUUAAUUAGGUGGCAUUUUUUUUAAUAUAUAUUAGGUAUAGACAUAGUUAAUUAAGUAUGCAAUUGGAUUAUGCAUGAUAUCAUUUUUAAGUAGACAUGUAAUUUAUUUACUUAUAUUUUAUUGAUUUGCUGGUUGCAACAAUCUCUUGGGCAGUUACAUAAAGUAGGAGAAGGAGGAGCUAAGACAAAAGACACUAACUUUGAAGGAAAAAGGGUUCAUGCAACAGAGUGUCAAAAAAUUUGUAGUCACAAGUGGCACUUAUUUGAUUUUAUUUAGCCAACAAGUGGCUCUUAUUUGAUAUUAUGAGUCUUUGUUUGUCGGAUUUGAUUCUCAAAGAAUUUCGGCACUUAAUUUUAAAUUUGGUGGGUUCAUAUAAGUUUACAAAAUUUGGACGUGUAUAAUCGAAUUUGACCGAUUAGAAUUUAGGUAUAUAGAUAUAAUUUCAGUUACU
rnacentral:lncRNA from 1 species